UACGAAGGGGGCUAGCGUUGUUCGGAAUCACUGGGCGUAAAGGGCGCGUAGGCGGCCGAUCAAGUCGGGGGGUGAAAGCCUGUGGCUCAACCACAGAAUUGCCUUCGAUACUGUUUGGCUUGAGACCGGAAGAGGUAAGUGGAACUGCGAGUGUAGAGGUGAAAUUCGUAGAUAUUCGCGAAGAACACCGGUGGCGAAGGCGGGUCUCUGGGCCGAUACUGGACGCUGAGGAGCGAAAGCGUGGGGAGCGAACAGG
rnacentral:rRNA from 1 species